GAUGAACGCUAGCGGCAGGCUUAAUACAUGCAAGUCGAGGGGCAGCAUGACUGUAGCAAUACAGUUGAUGGCGACCGGCAAACGGGUGCGGAACACGUACGCAAUCUACCCAAAACUGAUGAAUAGCCCUCCGAAAGGAGGAUUAAUACAUCGUAACCUAAUUGAAUGGCAUCAUUUAAUUAGUAUAGCUCCGGCGGUUUUGGAUGAGCGUGCGCCUGAUAGGUAGUUGGCGGGGUAACGGCCCACCAAGGCGACGACGGGUAGCUGGUCUGAGAGGAUGGCCAGCCACAUUGGGACUGAGAGACGGCCCAGACUCCUACGGGAGGCAGCAGUGGGGAAUCUUGCGCAGUGGCCGAAAGGCUGACGCAGCGACGCCGUGU
rnacentral:rRNA from 1 species